rnacentral:rRNA from 1 species
GACGAACGCUGGCGGCGUGCUUAACACAUGCAAGUCGAGCGGUAAGGCCCUUUCGGGGGUACGACGAGCGGCGAACGGGUGAGUAACACGUGGGUGACCUGCCCUCAGCUCUGGGAUAAGCCUGGGAAACUGGGUCUAAUACCGGAUAUGACUCCAUGACGCAUGUUGUGGGGUGGAAAGCCUUGUGCGGCUGAGGAUGGGCCCGCGGCCUAUCAGCUUGUUGGUGGGGUGAUGGCCUACCAAGGCGACGACGGGUAGCCGGCCUGAGAGGGCGACCGGCCACACUGGGACUGAGACACGGCCCAGACUCCUACGGGAAGCAGCAGUGGGGAAUCUUGCGCAAUGGGCGAAAGCCUGACGCAGCGACGCCGCGUGAGGGAUGACGG